rnacentral:rRNA from 1 species
AUUGAACGCUGGCGGCAGGCUUAACACAUGCAAGUCGAGCGGGGUGAUGGUGCUUGCACUAUCACUUAGCGGCGGACGGGUGAGUAAUGCUUAGGAAUCUGCCUAUUAGUGGGGGACAACAUCUCGAAAGGGAUGCUAAUACCGCAUACGUCCUACGGGAGAAAGCAGGGGAUCACUUGUGACCUUGCGCUAAUAGAUGAGCCUAAGUCGGAUUAGCUAGUUGGUGGGGUAAAGGCCUACCAAGGCGACGAUCUGUAGCGGGUCUGAGAGGAGGAUCCGCCAAAGUGGGACGGAGAAACGGCCCAGACUCCUACGGGAGGCAGGAGUGGGGAAUAUUGGACAAUGGGGGGAACCCUGAUCCAGCCAUGCCGCGUGUGUGAAGAAGGCCCUAUGGUUGUAGAGCACUUUAAGCGAGGAGGAGGCUCUUUUGGUUAAUACCCAAGAUGAGUGGACGUUACUCGCAGAAUAAGCACCGGCUAACUCUGUGCCAGCCGCCGCCGUAA